GGACUACCGGGGUAUCUAAUCCCUAUCGAUACCCAUGCCUUCGUGCCUCAGCGUCAGUAUUCUGUAGUAACAUGCUUUCGCCGCUUCGCAUCCCCUCGAGUAUUUACGUAUGAGUACACUCCUCUCGCCGUAAUUGUUACUUCCUUGAACUCUAGUAUAGCAAUAUGAACUUCACUCUCAUGUGUUUUAAAGAAAAUUAACUAUACCGCCUACUCACCCUUUAGACCCAUUAAAGACGAGCAACACCUGUCUCUCACGUAUUACCGCGGCUGCUGGCAC
rnacentral:rRNA from 1 species